rnacentral:ncRNA from 1 species
AACCCGACGAUGGGUGCGAUGUGAUCUGAUAAUUGCCCGUGUGAUAACCCCUUUGGUUUUCCCAUUCACGGGGAUAAACAUGAAUAUCCUAUCCUAUCCUAUCCACUACGAUUCACUACCAAGUACCUCCAAUACAAGAAUACAACAACACUGUGCAACCACCACAACAUGUAAUCAUAUAAAACCUACAUACCUGCACAUCACUUUUUCUUAUAUCGUCCUGCACAUAGGAUAGCAUGUGGUUAACUCGUACUGGCUUUGCUAAAUGUUCGCGCAAGGAGCUCACGAAAAUGCCAUGCUUCUCACCGUGCUUUUCAAACGCCUCGUGUCUUUCAGUCCUAAACAACAAUUUGAUAGCAUUUUUUAUCAUGCUGGUUUGAUGUGCAUGUUUUUUUAAAUGAUUUAAUGAUUAAUAGGGACAGACGAGGGCAUUCGUACUGUGCCGUUAGAGGUGAAAUUCUUGGAUCGGCGCAAGACGAACGACUGCGAAAGCAUUUGCCAAGAAUGUUUUCUUUAAUCAAGAGCGAAAGUCAGAGGUUCGAAGACGAUCAGAUACCGUCCUAGUUCUGACUAUAAACGAUGCCAACUAGCGAUCGGGGGGCGUUACAUUGACGACCCCUCCGGCAGCUUACGGGAAACCAAAGUCUUUGGGUUCCGGGGGAAGUAUGGUUGCAAAGCUGAAACUUAAAGGAAUUGACGGAAGGGCACCACCAGGAGUGGAGCCUGCGGCUUAAUUUGACUCAACACGGGAAAUCUCACCCGGCCCGGACACAGUGAGGAUUGACAGAUUGAGAGCUCUUUCUUGAUUCUGUGGGUGGUGGUGCAUGGCCGUUCUUAGUUGGUGGAGCGAUUUGUCUGGUUAAUUCCGAUAACGAACGAGACUCUGGCUUGCUAAAUAGUUACGCGACCAUCCCGGUCGGCGUUUAACUUCUUAGAGGGACAAGUGGCGUUUAGCCACACGAGAUUGAGCAAUAACAGGUCUGUGAUGCCCUUAGAUGUUCGGGGCCGCACGCGCGCUACACUGACCGGAUCAGCGUGGCUGUCUCUGUCGACAGGUCCGGGAACCACGUGAACCCCGGUCGUGG